rnacentral:rRNA from 2 species
CCUAAAAAGAGGGAGGCGGGUCUAACACAUGCAAGUCGAGCGGAUGAAGGGAGCUUGCUCCUGGAUUCAGCGGCGGACGGGUGAGUAAUGCCUAGGAAUCUGCCUGGUAGUGGGGGAUAACGUCCGGAAACGGGCGCUAAUACCGCAUACGUCCUGAGGGAGAAAGUGGGGGAUCUUCGGACCUCACGCUAUCAGAUGAGCCUAGGUCGGAUUAGCUAGUUGGUGGGGUAAAGGCCUACCAAGGCGACGAUCCGUAACUGGUCUGAGAGGAUGAUCAGUCACACUGGAACUGAGACACGGUCCAGACUCCUACGGGAGGCAGCAGUGGGGAAUAUUGGACAAUGGGCGAAAGCCUGAUCCAGCCAUGCCGCGUGUGUGAAGAAGGUCUUCGGAUUGUAAAGCACUUUAAGUUGGGAGGAAGGGCAGUAAGUUAAUACCUUGCUGUUUUGACGUUACCAACAGAAUAAGCACCGGCUAACUUCGUGCCAGCAGCCGCGGUAAUACGAAGGGUGCAAGCGUUAAUCGGAAUUACUGGGCGUAAAGCGCGCGUAGGUGGUUCAGCAAGUUGGAUGUGAAAUCCCCGGGCUCAACCUGGGAACUGCAUCCAAAACUACUGAGCUAGAGUACGGUAGAGGGUGGUGGAAUUUCCUGUGUAGCGGUGAAAUGCGUAGAUAUAGGAAGGAACACCAGUGGCGAAGGCGACCACCUGGACUGAUACUGACACUGAGGUGCGAAAGCGUGGGGAGCAAACAGGAUUAGAUACCCUGGUAGUCCACGCCGUAAACGAUGUCGACUAGCCGUUGGGAUCCUUGAGAUCUUAGUGGCGCAGCUAACGCGAUAAGUCGACCCGCCUGGGGAGUA